rnacentral:rRNA from 1 species
GAACUUAAGCAUAUCAAUAAGCGGAGGAAAAGAAACCAACAGGGAUUGCCUCAGUAACGGCGAGUGAAGCGGCAACAGCUCAAAUUUGAAAUCUGGCUCUUUCAGGGUCCGAGUUGUAAUCUGUAGAAGAUGCUUUGGGUGUGGCUCCGGUCUAAGUUCCUUGGAACAGGACGUCAUAGAGGGUGAGAAUCCCGUACGUGACUGGUUGCCUCCGCCCGUGUAAAGCUCUUUCGACGAGUCGAGUUGUUUGGGAAUGCAGCUCAAAAUGGGUGGUAAAUUUCAUCUAAAGCUAAAUAUUGGCCAGAGACCGAUAGCGCACAAGUAGAGUGAUCGAAAGAUGAAAAGCACUUUGGAAAGAGAGUUAAACAGUACGUGAAAUUGUUGAAAGGGAAGCGCUUGCAACCAGACUUGCAUGCGGUUGAUCAUCCGAGCUUCUGCCCGGUGCACUCGAUCGUAUUCAGGCCAGCAUCGGUUUUGGUGGGCGGAUAAAGGCCUUGGGAAUGUAGCUUCCUUCGGGGAGUGUUAUAGCCCUCGGUGCAAUGCGCCCUACCGGGACCGAGGACCGCGCUUCGGCUAGGAUGCUGGCGUAAUGGUUGUAAGCGACCCGUCUUGAAACACGGACCAAGGAGUCUAACAUCUAUGCGAGUGUUUGGGUGUCAAACCCAUACGCGUAAUGAAAGUGAACGGAGGUGAGAACCCUUAAGGGUGCAUCAUCGACCGAUCCUGAUGUCUUCGGAUGGAUUUGAGUAAGAGCAUAGCUGUUGGGACCCGAAA